GUUAUUGGGUAUCAAAACCUAAUAGCGAAAUUAACAUAACUUUUUAUGGGAUUAGUUUUUAGAUUAUUUAUAGUCUAUUAAUUCAAUCCCGGGGCGUUCUAUAUAGUUAUGUAUAAUAAUAUUUAUAUUAUUUAUACCUCUAACUAGAGCGUACCUUGAGCAUAUAUGCUGUGACCCGAAAGAUGGUGAACUAUACUUGAUCAGGUUGAAGUCAGGGGAAACCCUGAUGGAAGACCGAAACAGUUCUGACGUGCAAAUCGAUUGUCAGAAUUGAGUAUAGGGGCGAAAGACCAAUCGAACCAUCUAGUAGCUGGUUCCCUCCGAAGUUUCCCUCAGGAUAGCUGGUGCAUUUAAAUAUUAUGUAAAAUAAUCUUAUCUGGUAAAGCGAAUGAUUAGAGGCCUUAGGGUCGAAACGACCUUAACCUAUUCUCAAACUUUAAAUGGGUAAGAACCUCACCUUUCUUGGUAUGAAGGUUGUGGUUGUGAUAUAAUGUGCCCAGUGGGCCACUUUUGGUAAGCAGAACUGGCGCUGUGGGAUGAACCAAACGUAAUGUUACGGUGCCCAAAUUAACAACUCAUGCAGAUACCAUGAAAGGCGUUGGUUGCUU
rnacentral:rRNA from 1 species